GACGAACGCUGGCGGCAUGCUUAACACAUGCAAGUCGAACGGAAACGCCCUGCUUUUGUUGGUUUCUCUAGUGGCGAACGGGUGCGUAACACGUUAGUACCUUUCCCUUCUCUUUGUUAUUACUUCACGAAACUGGGGCUAAUACCCUAUUGCAUCUCCUUCUCCAUGGUAGGCGUUUGAAAGUUUCGGCUGUUUUGGAUGUACUCGCGGCUUAUCCGAUUGUUGGUGUGGUAGUGGCUUACCAAGGCUUUGACGGGUAGGCGGCCUGAGAGGGGUACCGGGAAAAGGGGGACUGAGAUACGGGACAGAGUCGUAAGGGAGACAGGAGUAGGGAAGAGUGCACAAAGGGGGGAAGUAGGAUGCAGGAAGGCCGCGUGAGGGAUGACGGACUGCGGGUAGUAAACAGCAAUGGGCGGUGACGAAGCGUGAGUGAAGGUAACGGAUAAAGAAGCACCGGCUAACUACGUG
rnacentral:rRNA from 1 species